UGUCUGUCUCUACUAACUGCAACUGGUUUUCCCUUUCUUCUUCGACGGCUUGGCUGAUUGAAAUAGUUCGUCUGGCUGCCGAGAAAAUUCGGGGAAAAAAAAAACGAAAACCCAAUAAUAAGAAAACCCUAGAUUACGUAUCCUCUUGUAGAGAAACUGCAAAAAUACCCAUUUGUAGCUGAGCAAGAAAUUCUGGUGGAAAUGACGAGCUAUGUAUGGAGGAAAUAUGCAGACUAUAUAUACACAAAGUGGGAAAGAAUGAUUCUUUGGACCAUGGUUGAGCCUUACAGCAGACCCAAAUCGUUUACACCCUUGGUCACUAUCUAUGUAGCCGCUUUCUACACUGGGGUCGUUGGCUCUGCUAUCACUGAGCAGCUAUACAAGGAGAAAUACUGGGAGGAUCAUCCAGGCCAGGCAGUGCCUCUUAUGAAGCCAAAGUUUUAUGGAGGGCCGUGGAGGGUACAGCAAGGAGAGGUCCCAGCCAGUCAGUGACUGCCCUAGAAGAGUUGCAGAAAUUGUUUCAAGAGUUUCUACCAUUCUAUGCGUUGUUUUGGUUGAUGAAUGUCAAAGGUUUAUUGUGCCAAGAAGAAUUUGCUAUUCCAUGAAGAAGAAAAAAAUGUAGAAAAUUCCUUCAUACAUAAUAAGAGAACUUGUCAAACGUCUCUUUGUAUGGAACUAAUGGCACCGUCCAAUUUCACUUUUUAUUUUUUUAUUUUCUGUAUAAACUACUUGUACGAUUUUGUACAUCUUUUGGUAGUAAAAUAUUUGAAGUCAAACAACUUAAACAUUAACCCAACACGUAGCUGAUAUGUGAUCAGUGAUCUAACUAACUCUAAAAUUAGAAAUCCAAGCUGCACAGAUUCUGCACUCUUUCUCUGCCACAGACCUCCAUGCCAUUUCUUCUUCAUUCCAUCUCUGCCUGCCACCGGACGAUGACAACUUACGGGACUAUUCCGACAGAACCCCCUCCUUCCUUGAACCUGCAUUUCGUUGCACGUGCAAAAGAACAGAUUGAGUCGGGGCUUGGCAAACGUAGACCAUGGCUGGAGAUGAUUCAGCUGCAAGAUCUCACACUUCCCACCACCUUCAACCAAUCAAUCCAAAGAAUCAAGUCCAACGUGGUGUUCUUUCGUAUGAACUAUGCCAUAAUCAUAUUGUUCAUUCUCUUCCUAAGCCUACUAUGGCAUCCCAUUUCAUUGAUUGUCUUCAUCAUCACGAUGGUUGCAUGGUUGUUUCUGUAUUUCCUGCAUGACCAACCCUUGAUGGUUCUAGGCUACCGGAUCGAUGAACGAUUGGUGACGAUUUCUCUAUUGUUGGUCACAAUCGUCGCACUUUUUCUUACCAGUGCGAAAUAUCUUAUCAUUGUAGGACUCUCCAUUGGCCUUGGGGUUGUGUUGGUUCAUGGAGCUUUAAGGGAGCCUGAGGAUGUCUUCAUUGUGGAUGAAGAAGGGGGGCCUGGUCCUGGAUCAGGUGGUGCACGUGCUUUGAAAGUGCCUCUGAAAAAUGCUGCCUCUUCUUCUUAUUCUUUGCCCCAAUAGUGAUUUUAUCAUCUUGUGAAUUUCUGUUUCUUCACUAUCAAUUCCCUGGAAUCAUUAAAAGACUCAAAUUUAUAAAUUCAUAUGUAAAUGGUGUCAUGCAAUUGGACCUGAAACUGCAAAGAUGCAAAAGACAAUUUCAGGUUUCAGGUUCUUCCUCUAUGGGAAUUGAUGAAAACAGAGUGCUUCAGUAUGUUCAAGCAGCUCCAACUUUUUCUUCGACAUUGUCAAUUGGUUAACCAAAAAAGGGGACUGAUGGGUAGAUAAGGAUGCAACUUUUGCCUCCAAAGUUAGUGCACGAGAAGGACAAGAAGAUAGGAACAUGAUGUACACACGUGGACUGGUUUUGUCAAAGUUGCUUUUGGACUCUGUUUCAUUAUCUUGAAGUAUUCAAUUACAUGUAAAUGCUCCAGCUUCAUUGUGUAACCUAGAAGGCUAGAACUACAUGUUAGAUAAUAUAUUGAAAUUUUCAACCAAAUUGCAAGCUCCUUUAUAUCUUCGUGAUGAUACCGAUAUGAGACAUGGCCCUUGCAGGGUCAGAUAAGAGAACUGUAUGCUCAGAUUGCAGCAUCUUUUCAUAUUUUGGUAAACUAAAUUUGUUCU